GCGCCCGUAGCUCAAUCGGAUAGAGCACCGGCCCUUCUAAGCCGGGGUUGGGGGUUCGAUCCCUCCGGGCGUG
rnacentral:tRNA from 1 species